AUUGAACGCUGGCGGCAUGCCUUACACAUGCAAAUCGAACGGUAACGGGUCCUCGGGUGCCGACGAGUGGCGAACGGGUGGGAAAUGCAUCAGAACGUACCUUUCAGUGGGGGAUAACGUAGCGAAAGUUACGCUAAUACCGCAUAUUCUGUGAGCAGGAAAGCAGGGGAUCGCAAGACCUUGCGCUGAGUGAGCCGCAGAUGUCGGAUUAGCUAGUUGGUGAGGUAAAGGCUAACAAAGGCGACGAUCUGUAGCGGGUCUGAUAGGAUGAUCCGACACAGUGGAACUGAGACACGGUCCAGAGUACUAAGGGCGGCAGCAGUGGAGAAUUUUGGACAAUGGGGGCAACCCUGAUCCAGCCAUGCCGCGUAAGUGAAGAAGGACUUCGGGUCGUAAAGCUCUUUCGGUCGGGAAGAAAUCGCAUGGGUUAAUACCCUGUGCGGAUGACGGUACCGGCAUAAGGAGCACCGGCUAACUACGUGCCAGCAGCCGCCGUAAGAC
rnacentral:rRNA from 1 species